AGCGGAACUAGUAAAUGAACUAGUAGAAAUUGUAACGCGCGAGCGGCAAAGAGAUUUUCAACCACGUCUUCCCAUGAACUUGGUUGGCAUUGAUGAUCAUGUGGCUAGUUUUAUGAAAUUGGCAGACACUACUUACCCCAAUACUCGAAUUAUAGGGAUUUACGGGAUAGGCGGUAUUGGUAAGACAACUCUGGCUCUGAGUCAUCUAUAAUAGACUUUUUGAUGAAUUUAAAUGCCGUUGCUUUCUCAAGGAUAUUAGAGAAACAAUAAAUCGCAAGGGUAUUGAGCAUGUGCAAUCUCGACUUAUCUCAGAUAUUUUGAAAAAAAUGACCAUCAAGUACCUAAUUCCGAUAUAGGAAUUCGAACAAUCCAAUCAAGUUGUACACAAAACAAGGUACUUAUUCUUCUUGACGAUGUGGAUAGUCAAGACCACCUCGAUAAUUUGAUUGGAGGUUGUAGUUUCAUGUCAGGAAGUAGAAUCAUCAUAACAUGUCGAGAUAAGGCCCUCUUGAAGUCUAAAUAUGAGUAUGAACUCGAAAAAAUGAAUUUUGAAGACUCUUUGCAUUUGUUUAGAAAAUAUGCAUUUGAAGGGAAAUCACCUCCAAAAGAACUCGCACUUCUUUCUAUUGAAAUUGUUAAAACCACGGGAGGGCUUCCCUUAGCUCUCAUGGUUAUAGGUUCACUCCUCAAAGGUAAAAAAGGGUCAAAGAGUAUGGAUAGAAAUGCUAAAUAAAUUGACAAAGGCACCUGAUAUGACAGUACAACAAAAGUUGAGGAUAAGUUACGAUGCGUUAGAACCUAAAGAACAACAAAUCUUUCUAGACAUAGCAUGUCUUUUUAUUGAACUGACCAAAGAUUUGCCAUCUACCUGUGGGAUGAUCUUGAAUUUUACCCACUAUCUGCAUUGGCGAAAAUGACUCAACGGUUGUUAAUAAAUUACGAUGAUAACAAUAAGUUGAGAAUGCAUGAUCAAUUAAGAGAUCUUGGUAGAGUUAUAACCCAUCCAGCAGACAAGAUGCCUUGGGAAUGCAGCCGACUAUGGGACAAGGAAGCCAUGAAAGUUCUAGGACGCAAGGAGACAAAUGAAUAUAUUGAGGCGCUACGUCUAGACAAAAAUGGCUCAAGUAAGUUCAUGGAGGAAGAGAGCUUUAAAAGAAUGCCCAACCUGAAGUUCCUUCAUUUGAAUGGAGUGGAUUUUGCUGGAGAUUUUAGAAGAUCACUUUCUGAAUUAAGAUGGUUAAAGUGGGAGGGUUGUCCCAACUCUUUCGAGGCAACCAAUGUUUAUUUGGAGAAAUUACUAUUACUUGACUUAUCAUGUGGUAAUAUUCAUGAUAAUUGGGGAGGAUGGAGUUCAAUCAAGAUGGAGAGGUUGAAAGUUCUCAAUCUUUCAUGGUGCUCAGAGUUAGAGAGAACACCUAAUCUCUCUAGGUUUAAAAGUUUAGAGAUGCUAAUCCUAGAAAAUUGUGAAAAUUUGGAGGAAAUCGACCCUUCCAUUGGAGAUGUUAAGGACCUCAUUGCCUUGAAUUUGAGGUACUGUGCGAGUCUCAAGAAGUUACCCGCACAAUUGGGAGAAGUGAAGGGCCUCGUCUCUUUGGACUUGUGGGCAUGUGAGAAUCUGCAAGAGCUACCUAGGGAAAUGGGCACAUUGGAAGAGCUUAAGGAACUUAAAGUAGGCUAGACUGCUAUAAAGGAAAUUCCUCCAUGUCACAAUUUGAAGAAGCUGGAGAUCCUUGAUGCCUAUGGUUGCAAAUCAUUGGUUGGACUUCCUGACUCAAUUAGUCAUAUGAAAAAUUUGUUGACCCUUGACUUGAGACGCUGCUUCAAGUUAUACAAACUUUCGGAUAGCGUCGGAUCUCUUGCGAAAUUGCAAUGUCUAUCGCUAGGUGGAAAGAGUUAUCCAUAUGGUAUUCACGAUGGCCGAGUUGAUUAUUGUCUCUAUCAUAUUCCCAAUUCAAUUGGGAAGUUGGAAUGGUUGAUUGAAUUGAACUUAUCAGAUACAGGCAUUCGCGAAUUAUUGCCGAAUCCAUUGGAGAUCUAAAAACUUGAAAAUUUUGAAUAUUGAUGGAAGUGAGGAUUUGAGUAAUUUACCUAGCACUAUAAGCAAGUUGGCCAAACUUGAAGAAUUACAUGCCUCACGCUGUGGAAGUUUGGGAGGAGAAAUUUCGAUAGAUGAGUUGUGCUCAUUGAAGAUCCUUGAAUUAUAUAAGACUCGCGUUUUCCGGCUUCUCUAACACACUUGAUAAGCUCUCUCGUCUUGAAAAACUUGAUUUAAAGGGCUGCAAGAUGCUUCAAUUGCUACCACAAGGCAUUAGUAAGUUACCUUCUUUGCUAUGCCUUCAAUUAACUUAUUGUGACAAACUUCAAUUGUUGCCAGAGCUUCCCGCAUGUUUGAUAGUUUUGGGAGUCACAUGUCAGCAUCACACAUUGCCUCAACUUUCUCACCUAAUCCUUCUAAAAGAGCUCAUUGUUGAGGAUUGCCGAUUGCUUGAAUCUGUGCCAGAGCUUCCCUCAAAAAUAUUGAAGCUGCAUGUCCGCGGGUGUGAUAAGUUGAAAGUGUUGCCGAAACUGUCCAGUUUGGAAUUCUUGUCGGAAUUAAUUCUCGAAAGGUGCUGUGAGCUGACAGAAAUCAAGGGUUUGGAAGCAUUAAAAUCCUUAGUAAAACUAAAUCUAUCCGGCUGCAGGAAGUUGUCAAACCUUGAUGGCCUUGAGCAUCUCAAAUCUUUGAGAUACUUGGAUAUGGGGUGGUUCUCUAAGUCGGAUGCUCCACUAGUGAAUGAUGAUCUAGUUCAAGUUCGAGGCCUUCACAAAUUGAAAAAAUUGGAAGAGCUGUAUAUAAGGGGCUGUCAGUCCCUUGUAAGACCGGACCUUUUGCAAUUAACACAUCUGAAGCGAUUAAUUGCUAGCGAAUGCCACAAUCUAGUCGAACUUAAGGGGCUCGAGGGAUUAAUAAACUUGGAAGAAUUGGAUCUCCAUGGGUGCAAAUCCAUUGAAACAUUACCAGACCUCUCGUGCUUGGAUAAGCUGAAAAGUUUGUUCAUUGGGCAUUGUUGGAAGCUUCAUAAUGUUAAGGGCUUGGAGAAAAUCGCAUAUGUGCAAAGACGGUAAAAGGAUUCAACAGCAAGGCCUCGGCAAAUUGCCCACUUCUGUUUAAUUUCGAAGAUUUGAUGGAAUGAUGGGAGUCAUUUUCGCAUGAAAUUGCGGAGACCACAGAGCUCCACGAAACAGGCCGUCUUUUCUUCCGGCUAUUGAAAGGGAUUCUUGGGCUUUUGUGGCUGCCUAUCUCCUGAACACUGGAAAACAUUUGUGAUUGCGGAGAAUUACGUGCAUCGCCACGUUGGAAGCUCAUGGCAAUUGGAACUUCGAUGGGGAUUGGGAUCGACCUUUCACUAGUCACCCAAAGAGAGCGCCUGAAUUGGGGGAGCUGGUCACAAUGGGAAUAAAUGCUGCGAGACCUUACUAUGAUAUGGGCGUUAUAUCUGCUAAAGAGAAGAAACUCAAUCACGAGAACUUGAUGAAGGUCGAGUACCAUAAUUUCGAGAAGGACAGCUUCUGCGGUGGGUGUGUUUCUGUCCUUAAGAAAGACGGUGCCACAGUGGACAGGGGUUGGAUUGUCUCUUGGAUGCAUAAUGAAGAAAUAGUUGUGUCCCAGACGUUUGAAGGCGAGCCAGUAGCCAAAAUCACUCUGCCUCAAAGGGUACCCUGUAGAUUCCUUGGUACCUUCGUCCUGAUAACGAAUUGAUGAUGGGGACACCAUAUCUUAUGUACAAAUCAUAGUAGGAGGCCUUACUUUUCUCAUCAGAUAAUAGGUUUUUUGCCUUUAGCAUGUGAUUUUUUUAUAACUUUCUAUGUCCAGUUUGUGGUAGUAUUUAUUGCUUAUAAGUAACUGUAUCCUCCCCGGAAAAGUAAGAGUUAAGAGGAACCGCACGGCUCUUUAAGCUACUGUAAUAAAAGUUACGCAUGUGUUAGCACGGCAUCGGAUAUUUGAGCCAUUGAGACUAUGUAAGCCUCUAUCCACCGACUCUACUACAAGGUCAUUGGCUGGAAUUUUAACUACUCAUCAAGUUCUAGAAUUUCUUCACAAAA